AUUCUCUAGGAGUGGAGCUGUAACCUGACACCAGGGAUUCAGACCUCCCUUUGCCUCAGCAGCUCUUGGCAUUCAUGAACAGCAGCAAAAGGCUCUUUCAUGCCCACUGUCUCUCUAGCCAUUCAAAGCGUAUCCUCCUUCCAGCACUAAGAGAAAUGUCCUGAAGACAUCAGUUCCAAGACCCCCUAGGACGAAGUAACGAGGAUUAUUUUCCCUCAGAUAAAAUAUAGGCUUCUCAAGGUCCAGAAUAGCUUUCCUCUUCCAAGGCCCAGUGGUACCCAUAAAUGCUGAAGUCGAAUCGCCAAUAUGCUUUCUAACUGGGUAAGCCCUAGAAAGCUUUUUAUGGUUCAUCUCACUAGGCUCACUGGAGUGCCCACAUGAUCAGGAUGGUCACAAAGCAAAGUUAAAUGUCUUAAUGAGUAUACAAGGCUCGUCUGAAAGACCAGCUGUGUUAGUAAAGGAAUAUAAGUCAAUCCCACCGAUAUAUCUACUCCUGUCUACUGUUUUUAUCGGAAGGAAACAUGUCUCUCCAAUUAAUGUUUUACUAUGCUGAAAAUAUUCAAAUAACCUUUUCCUUCACAUCUGUGACCUCUCACAGAGCUCAGUUCUGGUUCUGAUUAUUCACUCUCAGAUCUUAAUCCCUCAGAGCAAAAGAGAGAGAGAGAGAGAGAGACAGAGACAGAGACAGAGAGAGGGAGAGAGAGAGAGAGAAUCCCUCUACUACUCAACGAAAGGUACCAUCAACUCAAUCACACCGGAAAUCUUCCACAUAGAUGCAACUUGGAUACAGCUCCCUGCAGUCCUGCGUCCCACUUUCGGAAAACUGGCUGUGCAAACAAAAACAUCCUUCCAAACAACAGGAGCCUUGUGCCCUGAGAAGCUUAAGCACCUGUAGUACACACACUGCCCUGUACCCUGUGGGUGCUCCAUAAAUACCUAGUGACUGAUUCACAGGCCAAUUACAGGUCUGGUGAUGACACAGGGUUUGACCGCCUGGUGCUACUCUGGGGAGUGUGAGGAAUCCAGAAUUGUUGUGGGAGUAGGAAGAAUUAAUACCUGUGAAAUUCUAAAAGGACUGCAAUGUUGACAGCUCCGAACUAUAUACAUUUUGUCUGCAUCCCUCCCCAAUAGAAAGCUAGUAAUGCCCCCUGAACUCUUUCGGAAAAGCGAAUAAGCCCACUUAUCAAAGGACCAACAAACUAGUUCGGGGUGGUGGGUGCUUAAAAAAAAGAGGGAAACUUACUUUUCAUAGACCAGCUCCUCGUCGAUGGAGAAAUAGUGGAUAUUUAUUGUGCUUUUUGGUCUAUUCCUUAAAGUAGCAAAAUAUAAUCGAUCUGAAAGACAAGUUUAAAAGACAGAACAUGAGAAGCAGGGACGGGAGGCUGACAGUACGGAUCAUGCACGAAGGAUUAAUGAUUGCUACACACCAUUUAAAGACCCUUUGAACACGUGGGAAUCUUGGGGAAACAGGAUCUUCCAGAAAACUACAGAGCCCCAAAAGCACAACCAGCCAAGAGGCUAGAAGACCCAGCAGGGGGCAGAGCAUCUUCGGAGUUCCCUCACCCCCUGGUUGCGUGCGGGCGGGUGCAGACAGGAGCUGUGGGUACCCGCAAAACUGGAGACACAAGUUUGGUUCGGAAACCUCCAGACCUCAGCUGCAGCGGAAUGGGAAGAGAGGGAGAGAGGGGGCGCUCGAGCGAAAUGCCAACUGAAGAGACUUGGAGCGCUGACGCCAGGGAGGCAACUCAACUCAUGAUUCUUAGGACAUUAUUCUGCUCUGCUGACUUUCCAGAAAGCAAACAAGCACAAAACUGGCACAUGCAUGAAGACCUAGAGAACAUACUGUUGGAAGCAACUUCAAAUUAUGCCAACAACUUCCUGUCCAAGUGCUUCCCUUGAGGCUACGCCAAGAGCGUGUCACACUCUACACACAACAGCUCUUCAAAGCUACGAAGAAGCUCUUUGACUGCGUCCUGGAAUCCCACAUCUUCCUCAACCUUUCCUUCUGGUACAUCUGUCUACCCUCUCUCCUUUCUACCCCAAUCUUCACCAAUUUGCCCACUUUCUCAUGAAUUGUGUCCCAGAAUGGAAUGCAGGCCAAUGCUGAGCUGGUGUGACUAGCUUUGAUGCGUGGGGAUAAGGAGGACACAUUUUUUUGCUAAGUGAUGGGAGGCUUGGGUGGGAACAAAAGCAAUGGAAACCAUUAAAAGAACCCAGUUUUAUCAUUCAGCAGUCAAAUCAAAA